UGUUAUUUAUGUGUCCUUGGGUAGUUUUUGUAUCGCAUUCUUAUUUAUUUUCCUUUCAUUGCAGGUUAGGAGAGAAUUCGUCGAUGAUGCAGAACAGGGGAGAAAUAUACAAUUUGAGGACAAGUUUUGCAGCAUAAAGGUGUGGCAUCUGCGCCACGCAGAUGGUCUUUAUUUAUGCAUUGGCGUCAGGAGGUGGAGACGGCAUCAUAAAAUUGUCAGAUAUUUGUAUCUAUAAUCGCAAAAGUUGGCGAUUUUGUUUUGCUUUAACGGGGCCCGUCUCCUGGUUUACGUGUGCGUCAUCGGCAGGAUGAGGCCGGAUUUUUGUAUUUGCUGGUUUGCCUGUCCGGUUUGUAUCUUUCUGUGUGUCCUUGAUUAAUUUUGUAUUCUGUUAUUAUUAAUUUUCCUUUCCACACAGAUUAUCAGGAAAUCAUUGAAGAAACGGUACUGAGGAAAUUUUUACAAUUUGGAGACGGAUUUUAAUUCUUUUUAAUAUGAUGUCAGCUCCGGGAUUGUGAUCCUUUUUAGUGCAGUGGCACCAGGAAGUGGAGACGGCGUUGUAAGAUUGUCAAUUAUUUGUGUUUAUAAUCACGAAAGAUGGCGAUUUUGUUUUUCUUUGCAGGGCUCGUCUUCUCUUGUUGGUUGCGUUGGAUCGCCAGUUGGCUGUGUUUAUUGAGGUUUUAGCGUCUCUUAUGUAGGCGCUCGUCGAUCUGAGAGAAUUUAAGAGUAGUGGAAAGGAUAGAUUCUGCAGCUCCGCGUUAAGUGCCCUGAACUAAGCGUGGGCAGCUUAUAUGGCCCGUCUAUUGCAGCGCAGCACUGCAAGUAGAUUGCAUCGGUGAUAAGGGAUACUAAUCGGGACCGUGUGGCAAGAAUGUUCAGUCAGGAUCAGCUGGAGUGCAUUGUCUUGGGCUUGCUCAUCCGGGUACUUUGAGGUGAGAGUAUUGUUUAUUGUUUUUGUGCUUUUUAACUUUGUAGGUGGAGGUACGGAGACAGAAUGAAUUCU